AACGAACGCUGGCGGCAGGCUUAACACAUGCAAGUCGAGCGCCCCGCAAGGGGAGCGGCAGCCGGGUGAGUAACGCGUGGGAAUCUACCCAUCUCUACGGAAUAACGCAUGGAAACGUGUGCUAAUACCGUAUACGUCCUUCGGGAGAAAGAUGUAGCGGAGAUGGAUGAGCCCGCGUUGGAUUAGCUAGUUGGUGGGGUAAAGGCCUACCAAGGCGACGAUCCAUAGCUGGUCUGAGAGGAUGAUCAGCCACACUGGGACUGGGACACGGCCCAGACUCCUACGGGAGGCAGCAGUGGGGAAUAUUGGACAAUGGGCGCAAGCCUGAUCCAGCCAUGCCGCGUGAGUGAUGAAGGCCCUAGGGUUGUAAAGCUCUUUCACCGGUGAAGAUAAUGACGGUAACCGGAGAAGAAGCCCCGGCUAACUUCGUGCCAGCCGCCGCCGUAACAC
rnacentral:rRNA from 1 species